GUAAUAGCUGACUGAUCGAGUGAUCCCGCGCGGAAAAUUCAACGGGGCUCAAGCCAGGCACCGAAAUUAUGGAUUCGAUUGGACUCCUGGUCCUUUCGAGUGGUAGGGGAGCGUCGUGUGGUAGGUUGAAGCUCGAGCGGAAGCGCGGGUGGACGAAGCACGAGUGCGAAUCCAGGAAUGAGUAGCGAAAAGCAAAGUGAGAAUCUUUGCCGCCGAAAGCCUAAGGUUUCAUUAGCAAGGUUCGUCCGCUAAUGCUCAGGCGGGCCUAAGCCGAGGCUGAAAAGCGUAGGCGAUGGACAGACGGUUGAUAUUCCGUCCCCGAUGGC
rnacentral:rRNA from 1 species